CCUACGGGAGGCAGCAGUGGGGAAUAUUGCACAAUGGGGGAAAGCCUGAUGCAGCGACGCCGCGUGAGUGAAGAAGUAAUUCGUUACGUAAAGCACUAUCAGCCGGGAAGAAACACUGACCUUACGUUCAGCAGGCAGUACCUGAGUAAGAAGCCCCAACUAACUACGUACCAGCAGCCGCGGUAAUCCGUAGGGGGCAAGCGUUAUGCGGAUUUACUGGUUGGAAAGGGACCGUAGCCGGUGGGCCAAGUCUGGCGUGAAAUGCCGCAGCUUAACUGCGGAACUGCGUUGGAGAUUGGCGAACUAGAGGGUGGGAGGGGUAAGAGGAAUUCCUAGUGUAGCGGUGAAAUGCGUAGAGAUGAGGAGGAACACCGGUGGCGAAGGCGGCUUACUGGAC
rnacentral:rRNA from 1 species